UGGAGAAUAUUGGACAAUGGGCGAAAGCCUGAUCCAGCCAUGCCGCGUGUGUGAAGAAGGUCUUCGGAUUGUAAAGCACUUUAAGUUGGGAGGAAGGGCAGUAAGCGAAUACCUUGCUGUUUUGACGUUACCGACAGAAUAAGCACCGGCUAACUCUGUGCCAGCAGCCGCGGUAAUACAGAGGGUGCGAGCGUUAAUCGGAUUUACUGGGCGUAAAGCGUGCGUAGGCGGCUAAUUGAGUCGGAUGUGAAAUCCCCGAGCUUAACUUGGGAAUUGCCUUCGUUACUGGUUAGCUAAGGUGUGGGGGAGGAUGGUAGAAUUCCAGGUGUAGCGGUGAAAUGCGUAGAGAUCUGGAGGAAUACCGAUGGCGAAGGCAGCCAUCUGGCCUAACACUGACGCUGAGAUACGAAAGCAUGAGGGGCAAACAGG
rnacentral:rRNA from 1 species